AUGAACGCUGGCGGCGUGCCUAAUACAUGCAAGUCGAGCGAACGGACGAGAAGCUUGCUUCUCUGAUGUUAGCGGCGGACGGGUGAGUAACACGUGGAUAACCUACCUAUAAGACUGGGAUAACUUCGGGAAACCGUAGCUAAUACCGGAUAAUAUUUUGAACCGCAUGGUUCAAAAGUGAAAGACGGUCUUGCUGUCACUUAUAGAUGGAUCCGCGCUGCAUUAGCUAGUUGGUAAGGUAACGGCUUACCAAGGCAACGAUGCAUAGCCGACCUGAGAGGGUGAUCGGCCACACUAGAACUGAGACACGGUCCAGCCUCCUACGGGAGGCAGCAGUAGGAUAUCUUCCGCAAUGGGAGAAAACCUGACGGAACGGCGCCGCGUGAGUGAUGAAGAUCUUCGGAUCGUAAGACUCUGUUAUUAGGGAAGAACAUAUGUGUAAGUAACUGUACACAUCUUGACGGUACCUAAUCAGAAAGCCACGGCUAACUACGUG
rnacentral:rRNA from 1 species